CAGCAGCCACGGGAAUACGAAGGGGGCUAGCGUUGCUCGGAAUUACUGGGCGUAAAGGGAGCGUAGGCGGAUCGUUAAGUUGGGGGUGAAAGCCCGGGGCUCAACCUCGGAACUGCCUUCAAUACUGGCGAUCUUGAGUAUGAGAGAGGUGUGUGGAACUCCGAGUGUAGAGGUGAAAUUCGUAGAUAUUCGGAAGAACACCAGUGGCGAAGGCGACACACUGGCUCAUUACUGACGCUGAGGCUCGAAAGCGUGGGGAGCAAACAGGAUUAGAUACCCCCGUAGUCCCUGUCUCUUAUAC
rnacentral:rRNA from 1 species